rnacentral:tRNA from 1 species
AUUUUAAUAGUUUAUUUAAAAAUGUUGAUUUUGUAAUUCAAUGAAAUCUAAUUAGAUUUAAAGUA